UACGUAGGGUGCGAGCGUUAAUCGGAAUUACUGGGCGUAAAGCGUGCGCAGGCGGUUUGUUAAGUCCGCUGUGAAAGCCCCCGGCUCAACUGGGGAGGGUCAUUCGAUACUGAUCGACUCGAAGGCAGGAGAGGGUAGUGGAAUUCCCGGUGUAGUGGUGAAAUGCGUAGAUAUCGGGAGGAACACCAGUGGCGAAGGCGACUACCUGGCCUGUUCUUGACGCUGAGGCGCGAAAGCUAGGGGAGCAAACGGG
rnacentral:rRNA from 1 species